rnacentral:rRNA from 1 species
CCUACGGGUGGCAGCAGUGAGGAAUAUUGGUCAAUGGGCUUACGCCUGAACCAGCCAAGUCGCGUGCGGGAAGACUGCCCUAUGGGUUGUAAACCUCUUUUGUCAGAGAGCAACGCCGGCUACGUGUAGCCGCACUGAGAGUAACUGAAGAAAAAGCAUCGGCAAAAUCCGUCCCAGCAGCGCCGGUAAUACGGAGGAUGCGACGGUUAUCCGGUUUUAUGGGGUUAAAGGGGUGCGUAGGCGGAAUGCAAAGUCACGGGUAAAUACCGGGGCCCCAACCUCGCUCCGCCGGUGAAACUGGUGAUCUUGAGUGGGCGAGAGGUAUGCGGAAUGCGUGGUGUAGCGGUGAAAUGCAGAGAGAUCACGCAGAACUCCGAUUGCGAAGGCAGCAUACCGGCGUCCAACUGACGCUGAAGCACGAAAGCGUGGGUAGCGAACAGGAUUAGAUACCCGUGUAGUC